rnacentral:rRNA from 1 species
AUGUACCCCGCCCGUCCUCUCGAUCCGUCCCCUCCCGCUGCGGCCUCUCUCUUUCCCUCGUCUCCCGCUCCACCGCCGCCGCCCCAUCUUCUGCUCCUCCGCCGCCGCCCCAUCUCCUGCUCCGCCGCCGAGAGGAGUUGCCCUUCGCCGCCGCCGAGAUCCCGUGCCUCUCUACAGAUCCCUCCCUCUCUCCUCUUCGUCCAUCCACCUAAUCAAAAAUCGAAACCCGCCGCCCCUCUGUCUCCGCUGGUGCUCGAAGGAAGACAAGGGCUCCUCCUCCCGGCGAUUCCCUGUGGUCCUCGGCGGCGGAGACAGCUAGGGCAGAACAUCCGGAAGCUGGUAAAGGAUGGUUUAACCAUCAAGAAGCCUCAGAACAUCCGGAAGCUGGUAAAGGAUGGUUUAACCAUCAAGAAGCCUCAGAAGAUCCACUACAGGUUUCAUGCAAGGAGGGCACAUGAGGCCAAGCAGAAGGGCCAUCACUCUGGAUAUGCAUAUGGGUACUAG